rnacentral:rRNA from 1 species
CCUACGGGAGGCAGCAGUGAGGAAUAUUGGUCAAUGGCCGGAAGGCUGAACCAGCCAUGCCGCGUGAAGGUCAGUGCCCUAUGGGCGUUAAACUUCUUUUGUGCGGGAGCAAUAAUGGUCACGUGUGGCCAGACGAGAGUACCGUACGAAUAAGCAUCGGCUAACUCCGUGCCAGCAGCCGCGGUGAUACGGGGGAUGCAAGCGUUAUCCGGAUUUAUUGGGUUUAAAGGGUGCGUAGGCUGUGAGGUAAGUCAGCGGUGAAAUGCCCCCGCUCAACGGGGUGAAGUGCCAUUGAUACUGCCUUGCUGGAAUGCGGAUGCCGUGGGAGGAAUGUGUGGUGUAGCGGUGAAAUGCAUAGAGAUCACACAGAACACCGAUUGCGAAGGCAGCUCACGAAUCCGCGAUUGACGCUGAUGCACGAAAGCGUGGGUAUCAAACAGGAUUAGAUACCCCUGUAGUC